AUUGAACGCUGGCGGCAUGCCUUACACAUGCAAGUCGAACGGCAGCACGGGAGCAAUCCUGGUGGCGAGUGGCGAACGGGUGAGUAAUAUAUCGGAACGUGCCCGGUCGUGGGGAUAACGUAGCGAAAGCUACGCUAAUACCGCAUACGAUCUACGGAUGAAAGCGGGGGAUCGCAAGACCUCGCGCGAUUGGAGCGGCCGAUAUCAGAUUAGGUAGUUGGUGAGGUAAAGGCUCACCAAGCCGACGAUCUGUAGCUGGUCUGAGAGGACGACCAGCCACACUGGGACUGAGACACGGCCCAGACUCCUACGGGAGCAGCAGUGGGGAAUUUUGGACAAUGGGCGCAAGCCUGAUCCAGCAAUGCCGCGUGCAGGAUGAAGG
rnacentral:rRNA from 1 species